rnacentral:lncRNA from 1 species
UGCCUGCAGUCCUGCUGCCUACUGGUGCCGACCGACUGUUUAUUUCCCAUCAUCCCACCUGCUCUCCGCAGGAGGCACUUUAUCUCCGAGAGAAAAAAACACACAACUGCUGUUACCGAGUGCCGCUAUCAGUCCAUCCCCAAGGUCGAGCCUCACGGCGACACGUCAACAGCGAGCCGCUCUUGUGUUUGUUUUCUGUCGCUCGGUCUAGAAGGUUCCUUGAGCAGACAGACUGGAGCAGCACCUCACGGCCCCAGGUUCGAUUCAGUCAUCGGGAUUCAGAGACGAUCCCAGCGCUCACAGAACUUUCUCAGGUUCUCCGUCUCCUCCGCCGGACCGCGACUCCGAACCCCUCGUGUUGAUCCUCCAGAAGGUCUCAGCCAAGCCUCCCGGUGUGACCUUCUUCCCGACUUCCGCCCAGUGUCCAGACCCGGUUCGGUCCACCUCGGUCCUGGGGACGAUCCGCCGCCCCGCGCUCAGGCUCGCCGCUCCGCUCCGGGACCCAUCAUCAUCAUCAUCAUCAUCAUCAUGCCAGGUGCGGCAGCCCGGGCCGUGGCGCGAGAGCGAGAGGUGACCCACGCUACGCGCAGGACACAGAGCGGCAGUCACGAGGAGGAGGCAGGAACGCGGCACGCCGCGAGUGAGGUGGAGGAGCGCGAGGGAGGGAGCGGUGAGCGCGCGCGAGCCGCCGGCUGCUGGACGGAGACGCCGCUGAGUCCGCGAUCAGACUCAGGGACACCGCGGCACCUCUUGCUCCCGCCACAUGGCUCUCUCUCUGACCUGGCUGGGAUGGAUGAUGAGGAUGAUGACGAUGAGGAUGAGGAGGAUGAUGCCCGAUCUUCAGGCUGCGAGAGGAAGAAGAAGAAGAACAGCGCAAGUGGUUGUGUCGAGUCCCUCGCCUCGUGCCCGACUUUCGCCGGGGGCUGCGAUCCAACGCGUGUCAGCGGAGCGGAGGUGGGACAGAUUCGCCCCCGCGCGCGCGUGUGCGCGUGUGUGUGUCGAGACUGCGAUAGGAGGAAGCCGGACUCUUUGUUGGAGGAGAUCUGAUCCUCGCGCUGAACACCCAGUCGUGCAGGUAACACACACACGCACACGGUCUCGCUCUCUCUCUCUGCCUCCCGGACCGGCCACCAACUGAACACUCCGCUGAGCUGCUAGCUCUGCGUGUGUGUGUGUGGCUUCCCGAAGCUCCGCCCGCGCUCGCGCAGUCAGCCGACGGACAAGGCGUGUGUGUGUGUGUGUGUGUGUGUGUGUCUUUCUAGGUCUUCCACCGGAUGAUCAGGACCAGACACACACGUAUCAGUUUUGAUCACUUUACUGUUGCAGUGUGGUAAUGUUCGUUUUACCACAUUAAACCAUAGUUAAUGUUUUAGAAUUUUACCCUGUUACAGUGUCACACUGUUUAAGUGCCACAUGUGCUGCGAUCGUGUUACACUUUCACAGUGUUGGUGCUACAGUUACAGUGUUAUAGUUUUGCAAUAUUACAGUGUCACCCUGCUACAGUAUGACGGUGUUGGUGUUGCCAUGCUAUAAAUCACCGUUUUACAACACACACACACACACACACACACACACAGACACACACACUGGCUGAAGCCACCACACCCCCCAGUGUUACAGUAUCACAUACAUAUUACCGUGUUUCAGUGUCAGUGUUACAGUGUCUGUCAUACAGUGUUUAGUGUUACCGUGUCUUGUUAUUAUGAGAACAUUAGUGUUGUAGUGCUAACAUAUAGUACAUUUAAAGUGUUAAAACAUUACAGUGUUACCAUGUGCAGUGUUACCAUGUUUUACCAUAGGCUUUCUGCUAUUGCUGAAAGCCUCGCUGCACUGAGUCCCACACUGGAGCAGUGACUCACACCAGCUUCCUUGUUAGAAGUGGAGAAGAGGAUUGUGUGAGGAGCUCUACACUGUGCCCGUGUGUGUGUGUGUGUGUUUGUGUGUGUGUGUGUGUGUGUGUGUGUGUGUGUGUGUGUGUGUGUGUGUGUGUGGGAGGGCUCUGAGUGCUCCAGCCCCUCCCUGAGCCCUGUGAUCACACAGGAACAAA